AAGUGUGAAAGAAUCCUUUUAAAUGAGGGUAUAUUGAACACUACUGCCACUAGUGCCACAUUGCACUUCCAGGAUGGCAUGAGGAGGAGGCAGGACUGAGAGCUGAUUGGAAGAGCAGUGGCAUGCUCAAGCCAAGUUCCUGAUGUGGACAACUGGAGAUGAGCAGAUCCCAGCACACGUCAGGGAGUCAGUAAGCUGCUCCACUACUGUGGAUGUAGACUGGGGACCCCUCUCCCUCCCCCACAAGAGAGGGAGAGAAAAUUAGAUAGAUUGCUUGGAUCCAUCAGACAGACUCCAACGGAGAAGGAGAUGGACCAACACUACCUACAACAGUGCUACCACCACCCAGAGAGAUUAUUGCUACCUGAGGGCAAAGUAAUUGCUUCCUGACAGAAUCUGAGACACAGGAGUGAGGACUUGGGAUGGACGGAAGUUGUUUCUCCUUUGUUCAAAGUGAAAGCAUAACCAAUAACUUCUCAAUGAGUUUGAUCAAGUGGAAAAGUUUAUUUACUCCUGAGAGAUGUCUAGGUCUGUUGGAGAGCCUCUGUUUGCCUGGCACUAAGGAAGCUUGACUUUAAUCCUGCUUCUAGCAGUGUCCCACUCUAUGAAUGUGGAAAGUCAGCUCAGCUUUAAAAUGGAGCCUGGACUGGAUAUUCUCAACAGCUGUGCAGUUCUGGACAACUGAGAAGCAACUCACUGCCAACUGCUUGACUUUUCACCAGCACCAGGAAUAUCUUAAAAGUUUCACUGUGCUACAGAUAAGAAGUGGCCGCAACAGAGUCAAGCUUCUUGGAGAUAACGGUGGCAGGGGAAGGUCCAUUUAACUGGUGGUUGUCUGAAUCCACUGAAAUGAUCCCCAGGGCUUGUGAAGCUGUGAGUAUUUUGACAUAACUCAAUAGUUACCCCUUCUUAUUUUUAAA
rnacentral:lncRNA from 1 species